rnacentral:misc_RNA from 1 species
GUCAUCUAUGGAGUUGUGGCUGAGAGGUAAACAAAUGCUGGCGUCUCUCCUCGGUGGGGGUGGAAAAGAGCUAAUUUUACACCAAUUACUGACUGUUUGGUGACUCUCGCGCCCUGGGGAGGAAGAGGAAGGGCUUGGGCGUCACCACACUUACUAACACUCCGACACCGCCAGCACAGCAUCAUGGCCGCCACAGAACAGAAUACAGUGAGCAAGACGUGGGAGUUGUCACUGUACGAACUGCACCGCACACCACAGGAAGCCAUCACAGACAACACAGAGAUCGCCGUCUCACCGCGCUCCCUCCACUCAGAGCUCAUGUGUCCCAUCUGCCUCGACAUGCUCAAGAACACCAUGACCACCAAGGAAUGCCUCCACAGGUUCUGCCAGGAAUGCAUCAUCACCGCCCUACGCUCGGGAAACAAAGAGUGCCCAACGUGCCGCAAGAAACUGGUGUCCAAACGAUCCCUCCGGCCGGACCCAAAUUUCGACACGCUUAUCUCCAAGAUCUACCCGAGCCGAGAUGAAUACGAGCAGCACCAGGAACGUGUCAUUGCCAAGCUCAACAAGAACCACAACCACGCGUCGCUCAUCACGUCCAUUGAGGAAGGCAUCAAGCUACAGAUUCAGAGUCGCCAGAAGAACAGGAAGGCUUUGCAGGAGGACGGAGCCACACCCACACCCUCCGCCCCUUCCACACCCACCCCCACAGAUCCCUCCACCACCCCAGUCACCACGCCCAAUGUCACAGCCACCGCCACCACUACCACCGCUGCUGCUGCCACUACGCCUCAGUCCACUGCUACAAGUCUCGGCCCAAAGGUGAAGAAGCCAAGACGGACCUCAGAGAACGAGUCUGGGCCUGGUUCGAGUAAUGACGGCAACCCAGGCGAGGCGGAGGACGGCGGACCGGUGGAGGCAGGGGAGAUUGAGCUGGUGUUCCGCCCUCACCCGCUGGAGAUGAACGAGGACAAUGAGUUGAUAAGAGAAUUGAAGGACUCAUCAAUCCGCUACAUCAAGACCACAGCCAACGCCACCAUCGAUCACCUGUCCAAGUACCUGGCGAUGAGAUUAACCCUUGCCAACAGAACAGGAGAGUUGGAGACAGAGCUUCCAUCAUCACUCAAUAACUUCUGCAUCUACAUCGCCCCGACCCCCGACCAGUACAUUGGCGUGGUGGGCUCACUCACGCUGGAGCAGAUCAAUGAGAAGUACUGGAGGGUCAACAAGCCAAUGGAGAUGUUCUACUCUUGGAAGAAAAACUGAUUGGGUGUCCUUGUUUGUGUGCUGGAGAAAGAGAAAGAGAGAGAGAGAGAGAGAGAAAGAAAGAGUAUGUGUGUUUGAGGGAGUGAGGCUUUUUGUGUGUGUGUGUGUGUGUGUGUGUGUGUGUGUGUGUGUGUGUGUGUAUAGGAAUAAAUGAGUGUGUGUGUGUGUGUGUGAUGGUGUUGGUUCACCUGGUAGUAGUGGUAGUAGUAUUUGUCAGGGCUUUCCAUUCAUCCAUCACAAACAUCUCAGGACAAUUCAAGCAUUCAAACACCUUAACAUUAACAAUCCUUGCUAAAUUUCUAUACAAACUCUUAUUUAUUGAUUUUAAUUCAUUGCUGUUGUUGUUGUUAUCAUUGUUUAUCCUGACUGCUGUAUAGAGGUACUGUCAUUUUAUCACUGUCUCUCCUUUUUUUGACGUUCUAUAUUUUUCAAAGACAUUUUACUGGGUUUUGAUUGAAGUUUUGCUCUGACGUACUAGGAAUUCACUUUUAGCCAGACUGAUAUACAAAGGUCAUCAUUUUUGCAUUUCUUCUCUAUUUUUUUCUCUUUUCUCUUUUUUUUUUUUUCAAGGGCUUUUUUUUGUGUGUUUUGGUUUGUGUUUUGUCCUGACGUAGUAGGAAUUAAUGUUUUGUUUUCCUUUGUUUUUCUUUUUGUGUUUGAUAUGCUGUAUAGAACUUACCUUUGUUCAUCAUUUCUCUCCAUUUCUUUUCUUUCAUCUAAAUUUUUUCAAGAUUUUGUUUCUAUUUUGUCCUGAUGUGGAAGUGCUAUUUUUACCUCCAUUUUUCGUGUGUGUGUGUGUGUGUGUGUGUGUGUGUGUGUGUGUGUGUGUGUGUGUGUGUGUUUAAAUCUGAUAUGACAAUAAUGGGAUGAAACGAGCCUUAGUGUUAUCUUUUUAUCUAUACAUACUAUACGAGAGAGAGAGAGAGAGAGAGAGAUUGCAAUUUUUAGAUAUGACAGAAAAACACCCACAAUUAAUCUUUUAUAUCUGUGUAUUCUGAAUUGGUGUGUGUGUGUGUGCGUGUGUGUGUGCAUGUGUGUGUAUGUGUCUGCCGGAUCCCAGGAAAUAGUUGGAUUCUAACAAAUAUCCCAAUGAAUUCCAUUUUUUCCUGUUUGCCUUUCCUAAUAAAUCAAGAAAGUGCUAAA